rnacentral:lncRNA from 1 species
CGAGGCGGCCGGUGGGCGCGGCGCCAGCCCCGGCGGCGCGUUCCUGGCAGCGGCCCCUCCCCGCCGCGCGCUCCGCCCCCAACUUCUCAUUCACACUUUCCCCCCACCCCCCUCCCUUCUAAGAAGGCUGAUUUCUGGCAGAGGCGGGGGCGCCGCUUCGGGAGAGCGGGCAGUUCUAGGAGGCCGACCUGGAGAGCCUCCCGGUUCCCCUUCCCCUUUUCCCGGACCCCGCGGGGACACCCCCUCGCCGCCACCCGGGCCUCCCCGAGGGCCCAACUGCGGGUCAGGCGGCCCGGGCCAGCCGAAAGGGAAGUGGGGCUACCCCACAGCCAGGCAGCGGGGCUGGGGUCAGACCCGGGAGCCGGAGGUUGGAGACGUGCGACAGUCACCUGCGGGCAGAUUCCAGAGGGGAGACCCAGGGCUGCAGGGGACGCCCCUUCGUGGCAGCUACCCAGCCUCGGCCCACUGCCAGUGUUACGUGGCUGCAUGACCAUACACUUCUGGGUAGAGCCCAGUGGAAGACAAAGAAGACUCAAGGAAUAGCCCUUGAGGGCUCAGGAGCUAUACAGAUGGGAUAGAGGGUGUGAGUGCUGGGAAGCCCCAUCCAUGGCUCGCUGGAGAUUAGAGGCCUGUUAAUCUGAAGACAAAGGAAUGAAGACGAAAACGUUUCUGAAAAUGUGGGUGGAGACACCUGGGCCUUUACAGGGUACGCUCCAGAGCUGCUUCCAGGCAGGGACCCCGGCUGAGAGAAGCCAGAGCCAGAGAGUCGCAGGCUUGCUUGCUCUUAUCUUCCCUCUGCUGGGGGGGUCGAGGGGAGAUCUGGCCCCUCUGCUCUGCCCUCCUGAUUUCCCGUCUAAGGGAUUUAGGAGACUUUUGCCUUUUCCUAAUCUCUCCCUUUGCAGAAUUUCUGCGAAGUCACAAUCCCAUUUCCAGGCAAAGGUGCUUGGUCAUAAAGAUAAUAAAGAUAUUCAUUCAUGAUGGAGGGGAAGUACACAGUGGUUUCAGCUGCCUGUAGGGCUCCACUUACUCAUGGUGUGUGACAGAUGCUGAGCCCUUCCCCAAAUCUCAUGGAUGGGAAGGAAACCUGGCGCCGCGGGGUGGUCGCGGGAAGCCGUGGCAUGGCUUGGUGAACACAGGCUCGCCGACCCGGGGGCGGAUGCUGAGGUUGCCAUUGUUGGUGGCUGCAUCUGCAGUAGACGGGUCGGGAUGCCGGCCUCAGACCACAGCGUUGCUAAAUGCCAAACCCAAGGCCUCCCCGUCUUUAACACUGCUGGGCAUUCUACAGCGCAAGGAGGCAGCUGGGGCUGGACUGCCCAGUGCCUGCCGUUGACUGUGCGUCUUCUGCCUGUGAGCUAGCCUGCCACACCUGGGGAUACACGGUGGGGAAAUCAAUCAGCUUCCCUCCCUUCUAGAGCUUCAGGUCCGGCGUUGGUGUCUAGAGGCAAGGGGAGGAGGCAGGGAGGCCUCUUCUUUUCUGUCCCCCUUUCUCUUGGCCAAUUUGGAGGAGAUGGUGGGGGACCUGUCUCUCAUCUGACCUCCUGGAAGCCCUGCCUGCUGCUCCAGUGUGGCUCUCCCAGGGCUGAGGCCUGGAACCUAGGGCUGGGCUACCUGGGGUGCUCAGCUCUGCCGCACCCCAGCCCUCCUCGGCUGCAGCCCUGGCUUCUUUUCUUACCCACUGGGAUGGCCCGUGGGACUAACCUUGCAGCCUGCAGGACUAUGGCCCAGAUGACCUUUCCGGAGCAGGGGAAGAGUUCACAGGUCUCAGACCAGGUUGACCCCGAGCCCUCUCUUUCCUGCUUCGCAUAGGGGCGGGCCAAGGGAGGCAGGGACAAUGGCAUUCCUGUUUGCAGGCCUUUGUUCCCGCCAGGAGGGCCCCCGGAGCUAAUAAAAAGGUUUGUGGCUCCGAUGUCUAAGAGGCAGUGGAGGAGUUCUUUCAAGCCUGACAUUCCAGGCCCAGCCGGCCUCUGGCAUUUCCCAGAAAAACUUCGAGGAGGGGAGGGGAAAGAAAACACUUGAGGGACCCACCCACCUACCCACUGCCCGCCUUCUCGGAUUCCUCGUUCCCUCUGGGGAUUGGGCUGGGCCGGAGUGCCAGGACCCCUGCCCUGGGGGGCCCAUUCCUCCACCCACAGAGGGGCCCUGGGAAGUGUUGAGAGGGUGAGAGUGGAUCCUGAACCAACUUUGAAGGCAGAGAAGUGGGCUAGAAGAAGUGGGGUUGGAGCCUCCACCAAGGACAAGAAGGCCUUAGCCCCCUGCUUCCAGCUCAAGCUGAAGUGGCUGUGAGCUGAGCUAAGAAGACCCCACUUCGCCAGGAGGAGUGCCUCACGCCUGUAAUCCCAGCACUUUGAAAGGCCGAGGCAGGUGGAUCACGUGAGGUCAGGAGUUUAAGACCAGCCUGGCCAACAUGAUGGAGUCUAGCUCUGUCGCCCAGGCUGGAGUACAGUGGCGUGAUCUCGGCUCACUCCAACCUCCGCCUCCCGGGUUCAAGCGAUUCUCCUGCCUCAGCCUCCUGGGUAGCUGGGACUACAGGCAUGUGCCACCCCGCCUGGCUAAUUUUUUUGUAUUUUUAGUAGAGAUGGGGUUUCACCGUGUUAGCCAGGAUGGUCUCGAUCUACUGACCUCAUGAUCCAACCACCUCGGCCUCCCAAAGUACUGGGAUUACAGGUGUAAGCCACUACACCCAGCCCCCAUCUUGCUUCUAGCCUUUAAGCAGUCCUUGUGGAUUCCUGGGUGUAGGCCGAACUAACUUUGGGAAGGAAUUCAGUUCAUGGUUUGACUCUGAAACAAAAUUGACAACAGCCCUUUCCCGAAAAGACCCCCUUCUUGCCUGGGGUCCAGUCGGCCUUUGCAGGACUAACAAAUUAGCUAUAAGAUUAGAAAUAAAAGUUUAGGGUCAUGCAGCCUCUGGCUCCAAGAAUCUGAACCUCCCCAAAUUGCUCCUGGGGAUAACAUCACUAUUGGAAAACCGCAGAUCAGUGCGUGAGAUAUUUUGCAGACUCUGCAUUCAUGGAUCAGCUGACACCACCCAGACCGGUUAUCUGGCUCAACCAGUUCUGCCAUCCCACCCAGGAAUAGAAGAUAGCAAGAAAAAUUCACUUCAACCUUCUACGAUUCCAUCUCCAACCUGACCAAUCAGCACUCCCCACUUCCCAAGCUCCUUUACUAGCCAAAUUCUCUUUAAAAACUCUGAUCCCCGAAUGCUUGGGGAGACUGAUUUGAGUAAUAAUAAAACUCUGGUCUCCCGCACAGUGGGCUCUGCGUGAAUCACUCUUUCUCCAUUGCAAUGCCUCUGUCUUGAUAAAUCAGUUCUGUCUGGGCAGCAGGCAAGGUGAACCCAUUGGGCA